rnacentral:rRNA from 1 species
GGGUUUGGUUCGGACUAAUACAUAGCUUGUCGUACGUGACUGGUAAGCCGCUUGCUGCUUCGCUGACGAGUGGUGGACGGGUGAGUAAUGUCUGGGAAACUGCCUGAUGGAGGGGGAUAACUACUGGAAACGGUAGCUAAUACCGCAUAACGUCGCAAGACCAAAGAGGGGGACCUUCGGGCCUCUUGCCAUCGGAUGUGCCCAGAUGGGAUUAGCUAGUAGGUGGGGUAACGGCUCACCUAGGCGACGAUCCCUAGCUGGUCUGAGAGGAUGACCAGCCACACUGGAACUGAGACACGGUCCAGACUCCUACGGGAGGCAGCAGUGGGGAAUAUUGCACAAUGGGCCCAAGCCUGAUGCAGCCAUGCCGCGUGAAUGAAGAAGGCCUUCGGGUUGUAAAGUACUUUCAGCGGGGAGGAAGGAAGUAAAGUUAAUACCUUUGCUCAUUGACGUUACCCGCAAAAAAACCACCGGCUAACUCCGUGCCAGCAGCCGCGGUAAUACGGAGGGUGCAAGCGUUAAUCGGAAUUACUGGGCGUAAAGCGCACGCAGGCGGUUUGUUAAGUCAGAUGUGAAAUCCCCGGGCUCAACCUGGCAACUGCAUCUGAUACUGGCAUGCUUGAGUCUCGUAGAGGGGGGUAGAAUUCCAGGUGUAGCGGUGAAAUGCGUACAGAUCUGGAGGCAAACCGGUGGCGAAGGCGGCCCCCUGAACGAAGACUGACGCUC